GAUGAAGAACGUAGCGAAAUGCGAUAAGUAAUGUGAAUUGCAGAAUUCAGUGAAUCAUCGAAUCUUUGAACGCACAUUGCGCCCCCUGGUAUUCCGGGGGGCAUGCCUGUCCGAGCGUCAUUACAACCCUCAAGCUCAGCUUGGUGUUGGGCCCCGCCGCCCCGGCGGGCCCUAAAGUCCGUGGCGGUGCCGUCCGGCUCCGAGCGUAGUAAUUCUUCUCGCUCUGGAGGUCCGGUCGUGUGCUCGCCAGCAACCCCCAAUUUUUUUCAGGUUGACCUCGGAUCAGGUAGGGAUACCCGCUGAACUUAAGCAUAUCAAUAAGCGGAGGA
rnacentral:misc_RNA from 1 species